GGACUACUGGGGUAUCUAAUCCUGUUUGAUCCCCACGCUUUCGUGCCUGAGCGUCGGUUAAGGCCUAGUAGACUGCCUUCGCAAUCGGAGUUCUUCAAGGUAUCUAUGCAUUUCACCGCUACACCUUGAAUUCCGUCUACCUCGAACCCACCCAAGAAAACCAGUAUCAAAGGCACUGCGAUUGUUAAGCAACCGUCUUUCACCUCUGACUUAAUCUCCCGCCUGCGCACCCUUUAAACCCAAUGAAUCCGGACAACGCUUGCACCCUCCGUAUUACCGCGGCUGCUGGCAC
rnacentral:rRNA from 1 species